rnacentral:rRNA from 1 species
UGGGGAAUCUUGCGCAAUGGGCGAAAGCCUGACGCAGCGACGCCGCGUGAGGGAAGAAGGCCUUCGGGUUGUAAACCUCUUUCAGGAGGGACGAAGCUACUCGGGUUAAUACCCCAGAGGGUGACGGUACCUCCAGAAGAAGCCCCGGCUAACUACGUGCCAGCAGCCGCGGUAAUACGUAGGGGGCAAGCGUUGUCCGGAAUCAUUGGGCGUAAAGAGCGUGUAGGCGGCCAGAUAAGUCCGCUGUGAAAUCUCGAGGCUCAACUUCGAGCUGUCGGUGGAAACUGUCUGGCUAGAGUCCGGAAGAGGAGAAUGGAAUUCCUGGUGUAGCGGUGAAAUGCGCAGAUAUCAGGAAGAACACCCGUGGCGAAGGCGGUUCUCUGGGACGGUACUGACGCUGAGACGCGAAAGCGUGGGGAGCGAACAG